rnacentral:rRNA from 1 species
UUACAAUGCACGAAAGUGUGAUAGGGGGAUACUCAGUGCUUACGACUAUGUUGUAGGCUUUUGUCGAUCGUAAACAGAUCGGCGAAUAAGUGGUGGGUAAGACUGGUGCCAGCCGCCGCGGUAACCCCAGCGCCACAAGUGGUCAUCGCGAUUAUUGGGCCUAAAGCGUUCGUAGCCGGUUUGGUAAAUCUCUUGUGAAAUUGUUCGGCUUAACCGGACAGCGUGCAGGAGACACUGCCAGACUCGAGACCGGGAGGCGUUAGAAGUAUUCCAUGGGGACUGGUAAAAUGGGAUAAUCCAUGGAAGACUACCGAUGGCGAAGGCAUCUAACGAGAACGGAUCUGACGGUGAGGAACGAAAGCUAGGGGAGCGAACCGG